GCGCUCACAUUUUCCACGAUUUUAAUGUAUUUUAUUCAUAAUAACUUACAAUAUGUACAUCAUAUACGUUGAAAUAGGAUUCAACAUCAUCUUAGAAAGUUAUUUAGCAAUCAAACGAUGUAAUUACAAAAAUAAAAUUGAUCAUUUUUGUCCACAUGCUUGUCAUUACUCGUCAGUGGCCGCCGCUCUAGACCAAUCAGAAGUGGCGUAUGCAGAAGCCCGCGCCAUCUUCGUUUUCAAACUGAUCUCGCGGCACGCUCGCUCAUUCUGUCAGUCAGUCGCGCGUCGGAUCCGGGCAGCCGUACAACUUGCAACUUAAGUAGUUAAACGCCAAAAUCAGAAUAAUCAUGAGCACCAAUGAAAAAAACAGUGAAGUGGCCGUCGACAAGGUCGGUGAUGAGAGCAAGGGUGACGCCAAAAGUGACCUAAAAGGAGCGAAAAGGGCAGCCGAGGAAAAAACAACAGAAGCGAAAAAGGCGCGAAAGGAA